rnacentral:tRNA from 1 species
GCGAUUAUAGUUCAGUGGCUAGAACGCCAGAUUGUGGAUCUGGAUGUCGCGGGUUCGAGUCCCGUUAGUCGCC